GUUCGGAAUUGAAGCGGGCGUCCAGAGGGCAGAGGAGAGGGAGAGUGGGUGGGACUUCAGUCUGAGGCCUUCGGAUAGGUAUCCUCAGAAACCACCUGCGAAGGGGACCCUCGGAGCACAUGGAGUUUCGCUCUUAUUGCCCAGGCUAGAGUGCAAUAGCAUGAUCUCGGCUUACCGAAAUCUCCGCCUUCCGGGUUCAAGCGAUUCUUCUGCCUCAGCCUCCCAAAUGGAGUUUCGCUCUUACUGCCCAGGCUAGAGUGCAAUAGCAUGAUCUCGGCUCACCAAAAUCUCUGCCUUCCGGGUUCAAGCGAUUCUUCUGCCUCAGCCUCCCGAGUAGCUGGGAUUACAAGCAUGCACCACCACACCAGACUAAUUUUGUACUUUUAGUACAGACGGGGUUUCUCCACGUUGGUUAAUGGCUGGUCUCAAACUCCAAACCUCAGGAACUUAUGACUGUUUUCGAGUCCCCAUUAGGGUUGACUUUGCCAUCAAGUAAGCCUGCCACUGAACUUCCGGCACCACGGCAAGAAAGCUGGUGGUCUUUGUGUUCUUUUCCCAAGUAGUUGUGACUGAUCUCGAGUCCCCGUCAGGGUAGACUCUGCCUUCAAGUGAGCCUGUCACUGAACAUCCAGUACUACGGCAAGAAAGCUGAUAAUUUGUUUCCUUACUUACUGUGUUUGUAGACAAAUGUGAAUGUAACUUCAUGCUUAAUGAAAUAAAUUUUUGUUGAUGAAAAAAAUAAAAGAGACUCUUUCUCCCAUUAAAUUUUCUUGGCACCCUUGUCAAAAAUCAGUUGACAUGUGGAUUCUCAGUUCUGGUCCAUUGACCUAUAUGUCUCUUCCAUGCCGGUACAUAGAGUCUUCAUUACUGUUGAUUUGUAGUAAAAUUUGAAAUCUAGAAGUGGGAGUACUCUACUUUGCUCUUCUUUUUACAAAAUGGCUUUGGUCAUUCUGAAUCCUUUCUAUUUCCGUAUGAAUUUUAGAGUCAGCUUAUUGGUUUCUGGGAACAAAAGCAACUUGAAUUGUGAUAGAAAUUGGAUUGAAUCUGUAGAACUACUUAGGGAAUACUGCCAUCUUGAUUAUAUUAAGGUUUCAAUGAAUUUUAAGUAUUGCCGUCUUGAUAAUACUAUGUCCUUCCCAUGUUAAAGAACAUGUGGUGUACUUCCAUUUGUUUAGGUUCUCCUAAAUUUCUUCCCAUACUCUUAUUGUUUUCAGACUAUAUCUUGUGCUUCAUUUUUUGGAGUUACUACUAGUAUUUCGUUCUUUUUGCUGCUGGUAUAAAGGAAAUUGUUUUCUUAAUCUCAUUUCCAGAGUGUUCAUUUCUAGGGAAUAAAACUACAAUUGCUUUUUGUAUAUCUAGUUGUGCAUUGGUAUCUGUGGGGAAUUGGUUCUCAGACCCCCACAGAUAUCAAAAGUUGCACAGACUCAAGUCCUGCAGUUGUCUCUUUGGAACCCAUAUAUACAAAACAUCAGCCCUCUAUCCACAGGUGUCACAUCUGUUGAAUUCUGCAUUUUGAUCUGCAUUUGGUUUCAGAGGUAGAACCUUUGGAUAUCAAAGGGUGAUUGUAUUUGUAUAUUGAGAGAUAAUGGACAUUCCAUUAAGACUCCAACAUACUAAUUCAUUUCACAAGGAUACUGAUGUGAAAAUACAAGAGAUACUCAUUUUGAUUGUUAAUUGGUAGACUCUCUGGAUAAAGCAGUAAAUGUUGUAGGAUGACUUUUGGAGGGAAUCAGCAUUUGCUGCCUACUGCUACGGAUCUGGGACUAUGCCAGAUGCUCUGCAUGAGUGAUCUUAGAAUGUAAUUAGCAACAGAGGCAGAACUCCUUUGUGGCUGCUUAUUGUCUUGAGGGUGAAGAUCUAUCCUUAACACAACCCACAAGGUCCUGCAAGGUCUGGUCCCCCCCUGCUUCUUUUGCCUUAUUUCCCAUCAAGCUGUCCUUUGCCCUUUGGUUCCCACUUCCUCUCAGUUCCUUGGAACUGUCCUGCACCCUCUAGUCACAAGGAAUUUGCCCCUACCUCUCUCUGCCUGGCGUACUCUCUGUGCUCCUCAGGGUUUUCCUCUAGCUGUGUGUCCUUGAUCAUGGAAGCCCUCCCGGAUGCCCGGUCCAUUCCCUGCUCAUAGGCCAGGUCCACGUUGUGCCCUCUGUGCUGUGCACUCAGCACCCUGGCUCUUCUGUGCAGCACUUAUUCCUGUAAUAAUUCAUCAUUGACUGGACUGAUUAUUACCGGUUCGUUCCAUUGCACUGUAAACUCCAUCAGUGCAAGAUCACUGCUGGUUUUUGCUCAGUUUUAUCCCCAGAAUCUGCCACGCUAGUAG